rnacentral:misc_RNA from 1 species
CUCCCCGGGAACCUGGUGCCCUCCUCCCCGGGAACCUGGUGCCCUCCUCCCCGGGAACCUGGUGCCCUCCUCCCCGGGAACCUGGUGCCCUCCUCCCCGGGAACCUGGUGCCCUCCUCCCCGGGAACCUGGUGCCCUCCUCCCCGGGAACCUGGUGCCCUCCUCCCCGGGAACCUGGUGCCCUCCUCCCCGGGAACCUGGUGCCCUCCUCCCCGGGAACCUGGUGCCCUCCUCCCCGGGAACCUGGUGCCCUCCUCCCCGGGAACCUGGUGCCCUCCUCCCCGGGAACCUGGUGCCCUCCUCCCCGGGAACCUGGUGCCCUCCUCCCCGGGAACCUGGUGCCCUCCUCCCCGGGAACCUGGUGCCCUCCUCCCCGGGAACCUGGUGCCCUCCUCCCCGGGAACCUGGUGCCCUCCUCCCCGGGAACCUGGUGCCCUCCUCCCUCCUCACUCCAAUCCGAAUGCAUGGAUAGAGGCUUAACGGUGUUUGUGGCAGUUCAUGUCCCGGAUGUGUUACUAAAUGGGUGUCGCUGGAGGCUUGGGGCGAUACCACCACUCGUUUGUCUGUUGGCGAUUAGUGUUGUCCCCCCGAGUGGCCAGCGUGGCCCCGUAGCAUUCAGGACACGAGUUGCAACGGGCGCGCACUGAAGCUAGCGUGCCCUCCCAAAGAGUGUCAGUAAAAUAAAAUACAAAAACACAAUCACGGUUGCACCAAGCACAACAUUAAACACAUACAAUGCUGAAGAGCAGGCGUAUCGAGGGCAUACCCGUGGCUCAUAACACAGUCACAGUUCAGAAGGCCGGCACGCGGUGUCAACCAGGCCACCAUUCCUCUCCGCAUUAAAGCACUCGGUGGGGGAGGGUGCCCUGGUUGACACAAUGUGCCGCGCAUCAACCAGCGCGACGGAAGUUGGCCUCCAGCAAAGCACAUUUUGCACGCAAAUGGCGUCCGCUCUCCCAAACCACACGAAUGGCACCAUGGCAAAAAACACUCCCUCACAAUGUAUUGACCUUGUUUGUUAAUGAAAUUGUGGCACUGACUUCGGCAGACGCCAAGUGGUGGAUAUAGAACCACCUUUCAUGGCAGUACAUUGCAGCGUGUGCCACAUGUUCAAAAACAAUAAACAGAUUAAAAGAA